CCUACGGGAGGCAGCAGUAGGGAAUCUUUCACAAUGGGCGAAAGCCUGAUGGAGCAACGCCGCGUGCAGGAUGAAGGCCUUCGGGUUGUAAACUGCUUUUAUAAGCGAGAAAUAUGAUGGUAACUUAUGAAUAAGGAUGGGAUAACUACGUGCCAGCAGCCGCGGUCAUACGUAGGAUCCGAGCAUUAUCCGGAGUGACUGGGUGUAAAGAGUUGCGUAGGUGGCAUAAUAAGUAGCUAGUGAAAUCUGGUGGCUCAACAAUUCAGACUAUUAGCUAAACUGUUAAGCUCGAGACCGUUAGAGGUAAGUGGAAUGUCUAGUGUAGGGGUGAAAUCCGUAGAUAUUAGAAGGAACACCAAUAGCGUAGGCAGGUUGCUGGGACGGUUCUGACACUAAGGCACGAAAGCGUAGGGAGCAAACGGGAUUAGAUACCCUUGUAGUC
rnacentral:rRNA from 1 species